UAACGGCUCACCAAGGCGACGAUCAGUAGCUGGUCUGAGAGGAUGAUCAGCCUCACUGGGACUGAGACACGGCCCAUACUCCUACAGGAGGCUUCAGUGGGGAAUAUUGGACAAUGGGCGCAAGCCUGAUCCAUCCAUGCCGCGUGGGUGAUGAAGGCCCUAGGGUUGUAAAGCCCUUUCGGCGGAGAAGAUAAUGACGGUACCCGCAGAAGAAGCCCCGGCUAACUUCGUGCCAGCAGCCGUGGUAAUACGAAGGGGGCUAGCGUUGCUCGGAAUCACUGGGCGUAAAGCGCACGUAGCUGCUUUUUAGUCGGGGGUGAAAUCCUGGAGCUCAACUCCAGAACUGCCUUUGAUACUGAGGAUCUUGAGUUCGGAGAGGUGAGUGCAACUGCGAGUGUAGAGAUGAAAUU
rnacentral:rRNA from 1 species